CCCUUGGAGUAUCGGACCAAACGAAAGUAGCAAAUAAGCAAAAUCGGAUACUAUGAAUAGGGAA
rnacentral:sRNA from 22 species